UACGUAGGGGGCAAGCGUUCUCCGGAUUUAUUGGGCGUAAAGAGCGUGUAGGCGGCCUGAAAGGUCAGCUGUGAAAACUCGAGGCUCAACCUCGAGACGUCGGUUGAAACCAUCUGGCUAGAGUCCGGAAGAGGAGUGUGGAAUUCCCGGUGUAGCGGUGAAAUGCGCAGAUAUCGGGAAGAACACCCGUGGCGAAGGCGGCACUCUGGGACGGUACUGACGCUGAGACGCGAAAGCGUGGGGAGCGAACAGG
rnacentral:rRNA from 1 species